AUACGGAGGGGGCUAGCGUUGUUCGGAAUUACUGGGCGUAAAGCGCGCGUAGGCGGUUUGCCAAGUCAGACGUGAAAGCCCCGGGCUCAACCCGGGAACUGCGCUUGAUACUGGCAUGACUAGAGGCCGGGAGAGGGUGGCGGAAUUCCCAGUGUAGAGGUGAAAUUCGUAGAUAUUGGGAAGAACACCAGUGGCGAAGGCGGCCACCUGGCCCGGUACUGACGCUGAGGUGCGAAAGCGUGGGGAGCAAACAGGAUUAGAAACCCGAGUAGUCC
rnacentral:rRNA from 1 species